rnacentral:rRNA from 1 species
AGUUUGAUCAUGGCUCAGAACGAACGCUGGCGGCAUGCCUAACACAUGCAAGUCGAACGAGACCUUCGGGUCUAGUGGCGCACGGGUGCGUAACGCGUGGGAAUCUGCCCUUGGGUUCGGAAUAACAGUUAGAAAUGACUGCUAAUACCGGAUAAUGUCUUCGGACCAAAGAUUUAUCGCCCAGGGAUGAGCCCGCGUAGGAUUAGCUAGUUGGUGAGGUAAAAGGCUCACCAAGGCGACGAUCCUUAGCUGGUCUGAGAGGAUGAUCAGCCACACUGGGACUGAGACACGGCCCAGACUCCUACGGGAGGCAGCAGUGGGGAAUAUUGGACAAUGGGCGAAAGCCUGAUCCAGCAAUGCCGCGUGAGUGAUGAAGGCCUUAGGGUUGUAAAGCUCUUUACCCGGGAUGAUAAUGACAGUACCGGGAGAAUAAGCCCCGGCUAACUCCGUG